rnacentral:rRNA from 1 species
CGAACGCUGGCGGCGUGGAUAAGGCAUGCACGUCGAGCGCGAAAGCUUCCUUCGGGGAGUUAGUAGAGCGGCAAACGGGUGAGUAACACGUGAGUAACAUGCCCUUGAGUGGGGGACAACUUCGGGAAACCGGAGCUAAUACCGCAUAACGUUGUUGAUGCUACAGCAUUAACAACCAAAGGGGGGGACCUUAGGGCCUCCCGCUUGAGGAGUGGCUCGCGCCUGAUUAGCUUGUUGGUGAGGUAACGGCUCACCAAGGCGAUGAUCAGUAGCCGGUCUGAGAGGAUGACUGGCCACACUGGUAUUGAGAUACGGCCCAGACUCCUACGGGAGGCAGCAGUCUAGAAGCUUCGGCAAUGGGGGAAACCCUGACCGAGCGACGCCGCGUGCGGGACGAAGGUCUUAGGAUUGUAAACCGCUUUCGACAGGGACGAAGAGCUAGAUCGUUAAUAACUUUCUUGCUAUGACGGUACCUGGAGAAGAAUCCCUGGCUAACUCC